rnacentral:rRNA from 1 species
AACGAACGCUGGCGGCAGGCUUAACACAUGCAAGUCGAACGAUGUAGCAAUACAUAGUGGCGCACGGGUGAGUAACGCGUGGGAAUAUGCCCUUUAGUUCGGAAUAACGUCGGGAAACUGACGCUAAUACCGGAUACGCCCUUCGGGGGAAAGAUUUAUCGCUAAAGGAUUAGCCCGCGUGAGAUUAGGUAGUUGGUGGGGUAAUGGCCUACCAAGCCUACGAUCUCUAGCUGGUCUGAGAGGAUGAUCAGCCACACUGGAACUGAGACACGGUCCAGACUCCUACGGGAGGCAGCAGUGGGGAAUAUUGGACAAUGGGCGAAAGCCUGAUCCAGCCAUGCCGCGUGAGUGAUGAAGGCCUUAGGGUUGUAAAGCUCUUUUGUCAGGGAAGAUAAUGACGGUACCUGAAGAAUAAGCACCGGCUAACUUCGUGCCAGCAGCCGCGGUAAUACGAAGGGUGCUAGCGUUGUUCGGAAUCACUGGGCGUAAAGCGCGCGUAGGCGGCUUAAUAAGUCAGAGGUGAAAGCCUGGAGCUUAACUCCAGAACUGCCUUUGAAACUGUUAAGCUGGAGUGUCGGAGGGGAUAGCGGAAUUGCUAAUGUAGAGGUGAAAUUCGUAGAUAUUAGCAGGAACACCGGUGGCGAAGGCGGCUAUCUGGACGACAACUGACGCUGAGGCGCGAAAGCGUGGGGAUCAAACAGGAUUAGAUACCCUGGUAGUCCACGCUGUAAACGAUGGGUGCUAGCCGUUGGGAGGAUUCCUCUCAGUGGCGCAGCUAACGCGUUAAGCACCCCGCCUGGGGAGUACGGUCGCAAGAUUAAAACUCAAAGGAAUUGACGGAAUCGAAUUCCCGCG